UACAGAGGGGGCAAGCGUUGUUCGGAAUUACUGGGCGUAAAGGGCGCGUAGGCGGCCUGUUAAGUCGAACGUGAAAUCCCCGGGCUCAACCCGGGAACUGCGUCCGAUACUGGCAGGCUUGAAUUCGGGAGAGGGAUGCGGAAUUCCAGGUGUAGCGGUGAAAUGCGUAGAUAUCUGGAGGAACACCGGUGGCGAAGGCGGCGAUCCUGGACCGAGAUUGACGCUGAGGCGCGAAAGCUAGGGGGAGCAAACAGG
rnacentral:rRNA from 1 species